GCCUGGUGUGGUGGUGUCCACCUGAAGUCCUAGCUAAUCCAGAGGCCGAGGAAGGAUGAGGGCUCUAGUCUAUUUGUUCUGGGACAUAGUGCGCUAUGCUUAUGUAUCCACACUAAGUUUGCCAUCAUUGUGGUGACCUUCUGGGAGGAGGAAUUACCAGGUGUCUAAGGAGGGGGGAACUGCCCAGGUUAGAAACAAAGCAGGUCAAUAUUCCCACGCUGAUCAGUAGUGGGAUCGCACCUGUAAAUAGCCACUCCACUCCACUCAAGCCAGAGAAGCACAGU
rnacentral:SRP_RNA from 1 species